CAUUACAGUACCAACAACAUGAGAUUUGGAGGGUGUGUGUGUUAUUGAAAGACAUGUAGAGGAGACUAGUGCUGAUCACACACAUCCACUUAUUGUGGCCACAUUCUGGUCCAACCGUGAACUGACCAUUCAUGUACAUGCUUUGUUGAUGCUCUUUGUUUAUCAUGUUUAAAGACGAGUACAUAUAUGCCAAAUUGGUCUUUCACGCAAGCUUUAUACAGGCAAUUUCAAUUUCUCACACUGAAAUUGUUCUUGGAAUGAAUCACCAUAAUUAAUUACAUAAAAUGGUUUUGCUGGCAAAAAGAAAAUUAACAGGAGCAAUGUUUUUCAUCUGACAUUAUCAACAAAUGAAAUUCUUCUUUUGAGUACACAAAUUACGGGAAUGUUUUGCAGAUACUCCUUUGAUUUCCUGCUUGUAUCUACAUCCUUGACACAAACCCCAGAUAAUUAUUAACUUGUUGCUGAAUAUGCUACAAAAAUGGAGUGUCAAAAUUGUGAGAAGGAGUUUGUUAAAAAUGCACUCCGAUUAUUCCAGCUAUGGCUUGUAACUACUGGAGUCAUGACCAUGAGCAUCAAUCUAAUCAGCUGGGAUUUGAUGACAUACAUCAACUAAGUCGGUCAUUGUGUCAAUGGUAAAUCAAUGUCCAGGUUCAGAUAACACCAGUACUUAAAUUGUUUGUGGAUAGGUGUUUUUUGUCUUUGCCAUGUUCAAAUAUAUCCAUGGUCUUUUUGCAUAAACUUUUGUGCAGUGUGUUGAGACUGAAUGAGAGCUUGCCAAAUUGUAAAUUGUAAUGUCAGUUGUUGCAUUGUUUCAUGUGCUCAUGAAAUAAAUAAAUGAAACAAAUUUAUUCCCAA